AUGAAUAGGAAUAUUUUCUUGGAAUAUUUCUGUAUAUAUUUAUCUGACCCUGUAUAUAGUAUGGUAUUGACUGACCCUGUAUAUAGUAUGGUAUUAACUGACCCUGUAUAUAGUAUGGUAUUAACUGACCCUGUAUAUAGUAUGGUAUUAACUGACCCUGUAUAUAGUAUGGUAUUAACUGACCCUGUAUAUAGUGACCCUGUAUAUAGUAUGGUAUUAACUGACCCUGUAUAUAGUAUGGUAUUAACUGACCCUGUAUAUAGUAUGGUAUUAUCUGACCCUGUAUAUAACUACUGACCCUGUAUAUAGUAUGGUAUUAACUGACCCUGUAUAUAGUAUGGUAUUAACUGACCCUGUAUAUAGUAUGGUAUUAACUGACCCUGUAUAUAGUAUGGUAUUAUCUGACCCUGUAUAUAACUACUGACCCUGUAUAUAGUAUGGUAUUAUCUGACCCUGUAUAUAGUAUGGUAUUAACUGACCCUGUAUAUAACUACUGACCCUGUAUAUAGUGACAUUGAAACUUAGACUUUAUAAAGGGUUUAUUAUCGUUACCUUCUCAGCCUGAUCCCAGACCGCAGGCUCUCCCAGGAACUUCUCAGGCCGGGUGGACAGGUUGAGUUUGAAGGAGAAACCAAAACAGUCGUAGACUGUACGCAGGAAGUCCAGACAACCCUUAAUCUCCUCCUCAAUCUGGAGGUUGAGGAAAAGACAACACCACACAAUUUUCCUUCAGCUUUAGUCAAGGCUUCAUGGUGUCUAAAAUAGUGUGACAGCUGAAAUGGUCCACUGGAAGAUUAUCCCAGGAGGUGAACUAACUGACCCAUGCCGUGUGGCGCUACAUGGAGAAGAGGAGUGUGCCUGACCCGCAGGAGGGUUAAGGUCAGUCUGACUGCUCCACAAGUGAUUGGGGGNNNNNNNNNNAUGGUAUUAACUGACCCUGUAUAUAGUAUGGUAUUAACUGACCCUGUAUAUAACUACUGACCCUGUAUAUAGUAUGGUAUUAACUGACCCUGUAUAUAGUAUGGUAUUAACUGACCCUGUAUAUAGUAUGGUAUUAUCUGACCCUGUAUAUAACUACUGACCCUGUAUAUAGUAUGGUAUUAACUGACCCUGUAUAUAGUAUGGUAUUAACUGACCCUGUAUAUAGUAUGGUAUUAACUGACCCUGUAUAUAGUAUGGUAUUAUCUGACCCUGUAUAUAACUACUGACCCUGUAUAUAGUAUGGUAUUAUCUGACCCUGUAUAUAGUAUGGUAUUAACUGACCCUGUAUAUAACUACUGACCCUGUAUAUAGUGACAUUGAAACUUAGACUUUAUAAAGGGUUUAUUAUCGUUACCUUCUCAGCCUGAUCCCAGACCGCAG
rnacentral:lncRNA from 13 species